GUGUUUGCUCCAGCAGCACAUAUACUGAAGUUGGAACAAUGCAGAGAAAAUAAGCAUGGUUUCUGUGCAAGAUGACACAUAAAUUCAUGCAGUGUUCCAUACUUUU